GACGAACGCUGGCGGCGUGCUUAACACAUGCAAGUCGAACGGAAAGGCCCUGCUUUUGUGGGGUGCUCGAGUGGCGAACGGGUGAGUAACACGUGAGUAACCUGCCCUUGACGUUGGGAUAACUUCAGGAAACUGGGGCUAAUACCGGAUAGGAGCUCCUGCUGCAUGGUGGGGGUUGGAAAGUUUCGGCGGGUGGGGAUGGACGCGCGGCUUAUCAGCUUGUUGGUGGGGUAGUGGCUUACCAAGGGUUUGACGGGUAGCCGGCCUGAGAGGGUGACCGGCCACAUUGGGACUGAGAUACGGACCAGACUCCUACGGGCGGCAGCAGUGGGGAAUAUUGCACGAUGGGCGGAAGCCUGAUGCAGCAACGCAGCGUGCGGGAUGACGGCCUUCGGGUUGUAAACCGCUUUCGCCUGUGACGAAGCGUGAGUGACGGUAAUGGGUAAAGAAGCACCGGCUAACUACGUG
rnacentral:rRNA from 1 species